GACAGAGGUGCCAAGCGUUAGGCGGAAUCACUGGGCUUAAAGCGUGUGUAGGCGGAUAUCUAAGUACCUUGUGAAAUCCCACGGCUUAACCGUGGAACUGCUUGGUAUACUGGGUGUCUUGAGCCAACUAGGGGCGACCGGAACAAACGGUGGAGCGGUGAAAUGCGUAGAUAUCGUUUGGAACGCCAAUGGUGAAAACAGGUCGCUGGGGUUGUGCUGACGCUGAGACACGAAAGCCAGGGGAGCGAACGGG
rnacentral:rRNA from 1 species